AUUGAACGCUGGCGGAAUGCUUUACACAUGCAAGUCGAACGGUAGAGGGGGCAACCCCUUGAGAGUGGCGAACGGGUGAGUAAUACAUCGGAACGUGCCCAGUCGUGGGGGAUAACGUAGCGAAAGCUACGCUAAUACCGCAUACGAUCUGAGGAUGAAAGCGGGGGACCUUCGGGCCUCGCGCGAUUGGAGCGGCCGAUGGCAGAUGAGGUAGUUGGUGAGGUAAAGGCUCACCAAGCAGGCGAUCUGUAGCUGGUCUGAGAGGAUGAUCAGCCACACUGGGACGGAGAGAGGGCCCAGACUCCUACGGGAGGCAGCAGUGGGGAAUUUUGGACAAUGGGCGCAAGGCUGAUCCAGCCAUUCCGCGUGCAGGAUGAAGGCCUUCGGGUUAUAAACUGCUUUUGUACGGAACGAAAAGGCUCUGGUUAAUACCCGGGGCUCAUGACGGUACCGUAAGAAUAAGCACCGGCUAACUACGUGCCAGCCGCCGCAGUAA
rnacentral:rRNA from 1 species